GAUGAACGCUAGCGGCAGGCCUAACACAUGCAAGUCGAGGGGUAGAGUUAGCUUGCUAACUUGAGACCGGCGCACGGGUGCGUAACGCGUAUGCAAUCUGCCUUGUACUGAGGGAUAGCCCAGAGAAAUUUGGAUUAAUACCUCAUAGUAUAUUCUGGUGGCAUCACCGGAUUAUUAAAGUUCCAACGGUACAAGAUGAGCAUGCGUCCCAUUAGUUAGUUGGUAAGGUAACGGCUUACCAAGACGAUGAUGGGUAGGGGUCCUGAGAGGGAGAUCCCCCACACUGGUACUGAGACACGGACCAGACUCCUACGGGAGGCAGCAGUGAGGAAUAUUGGUCAAUGGGCGCAAGCCUGAACCAGCCAUGCCGCGUGCAGGAUGAAGCAUCUAUGGUGUGUAAACUGCUUUUAUACGGGAAGAAACACUCCUACGUGUAGGAACUUGACGGUACCGUAAGAAUAAGGAUCGGCUAACUCCGUGCCAGCCGCCGCCGUAAUAC
rnacentral:rRNA from 1 species